GGUUUGUUAUUAUUAUUUACUUAUUUUUUGUUUGUUUGUUUGUUUUUGAGAGAGUCUCUGUACCUUAAACUUUAUGCAACAAAGGAUGGCCUUGAAGUUCUGAGCCUCUUUCCUCCACCUCCCAAGAGCUGAGACUGCAGGCGUGUGUAUGCUACCACACCCCAUUUCUGUGGUGCUGGGGACUGAAACCAGCAGGACUUCAUGCACCCUAGCUGGGUCAGCACCCCAUAGCCACACCCUAGCCUCUCCCUGCCUCCCCCACAGCUGAGCCACACCCUAGCCCCUCCCCACAGCCGAGCCACACCCUAGCCCCUAUUUAGUUUUCUUUUCAUGUAAAACAUUUCUUUGGAGAAAAAAUUUAAAAAAAAAAAAAAAAAGGACUGUACUGGAGAUCUUUAUAAUUAAUUAGCUCUGAGCAACCUGUGAAGCCCGACCGUGCUCAGAUUUCCAGUGCCAUGGUCACCAGAGCUGAGAAUGAUAAUAUAUAUAUAUAUGUAUAUAUAUAUAUACACAUUAGCAGAGGUGAAUGUUUCUGAUGACCUGCUGGGAAUGCUGACAUAUAGUCAACGUGAGAGUAAAAACCAACACUUAAAAAUAUUUAAGAUUUGCACAUGGGCUGGACAGAGUGGUGCAUGCCUUUAAUGCCAGCACUCAGAAGGCAGAGGCAGGUGGAUCUCUAUGGGUCCAGAGCCAUCCUGGUCUCUGCGUUAACCAGUGCUGCAGAGUGAGACUCUGUCUUGCAUCAAAGACAUGCACAUGAAUUGUGAACGAUAGCGUUAGGGUGUUUUAAUUCUGCCUAGAUAAACCAUUUAAACGAUGAGGUGAGGCAAAGAGAACUAAGUGAGGGGGCGUCAGAACAGCAGGGGUGCAUGGGCGGGAGGACACAUCUCCAGCCUGGCAGAUCCUCUGUUUCUUGUACAUUUCUGAAGCUCUGGAAGAGUGGAGAGCUAGGGCCAUUUGACCCAUAGAGCCUCCCUCCUGCAGGCCAGGUGGUUCCUUUUUCUGUGUAUUAUCUCCAUUUCCCUAGGGUGUUUUCUUUUGUUUUGUUUUGUUUUGUUUUGUUGUGUUGUGUUGUGUUGUGUUGUAUUGUGUUUUGUUUUGUUUUGUUUUGUUUUGUUUUGUUUUGUUUUGUUUUGUUUUUCGAGACAGGGUUUCUCUGUGUAUCCGUGGCUGUCCUGGAACUCACUCUGUAGACCAGGCUGGCCUCGAACUCAGAAAUCCGCCUGCCUCUGCCUCCCAAGUGCUGGGAUUAAAGGCCACCACUGCCCCGCCUAUUUCUCUAGUUUCAAAUGAACUAACUCUUCAGAGUCUCAAGAAUAAUAUGGGACAGAAAGAUUUUGACAUAUAUUUUAAUUAGUUUGACAUGUACUAAAACAAACACAUGUAUUUCCCCUUCAUUAUCAGGACAGUUCUAGCAGGGAGAAAGAUAUACAUAAAAAGCUGUGCCUCGCCAGACUGUUUAUAAUAAAGGUUGUAGUAUCGGAGCUUUGAAACCUUGUGGAGGUGGCAAGUGCUACACUGUUACUAUGAUGUAACCACUUGUCCCUCCCUUGCUUGUGAUGUAUGGUGCUGUGUUGUUUUUACACAAUAAUGAUGCAUACCCCAUGAAUUUGACAGUGUGAAGAGUGUUUGAGUAAAUUAAUGAACGAUUUCUCUUGCCAAAUGGAAGCUACUUCCAGCAGGGACUUUCUGGCUUAUAAAUGGCAAAGCUCCCCCACUUCCACAUCCCUAAGGAUUCUGAAAUAGAAAGGUCAAAGUUGGGAAAGAUGUGACUUGUACCAUUUUGGCUUCCUUAAAUAUUACUAACAAAUGCCUCUCUCAAAUAGAGAUGGACCUUGAUUUACAGUGAGAGAAUCGUGUUCCAAUAGAGCAGUUACCAACUGAAAAAAAAAAAAAAGCCAACCCACACGUUAAGAAUCCAUUUAAUAUCCUGAAUGUAGCAAAUGCAGCAUAAAACCAGGUACUGUCGAGUGCAGAGUGAGGUGGGUGAGUCUACCCCACUAAUCGACCACUGGGGGUCAAAGCUUGCUGGAGAUGUGAGGACAAGAUGUGGCUGGAGAGGUGGCUCAGUGAGCAAGCAUAAGGGCCUGACCUUGGAUCCCCAGCACCCACAUAAAACCUGAUGAGCAGUGUCUCUGCAACUCAGCUCGAGCAGGGGACAGAGUUGGGCGAAUACCAGAGGCUCAGCAUUCAGCCAGUCCAUCUGCAUCAGUGAGACCCUGAAUCCAAGUAAGGCAGAGGUUAAUGGAGGAAGAAAAGUGAUAGGAAAUGCACACCCAUGGGCCAACACGCCUAUGCACAUGCAUCUACACGUGUGUAAACUACACAAAGAGCACACACACUUUUUAAAAAGAAAAAAAAAAGUUUAAAAGUUAUACUGUAUGACCUUAACCCAGAGGGGGAAAAAAAUAAAAAUUAAAAAUUCUGAAUGUGGGGACUGGAGCAAUGGCUCAGUGCUUAAGAGCACUGGCUGCUCUUCCAGGGGACCUGGGUUCAAUUCCCAUCAUUCACGUGGUGGAGCACAACUAUCUGUUAACUCCAGUCUCAAGGCAUAUAAUGCCCUCUUCUGGCCUGUGAGGGUACUGCAGGCACAUGGUGCACAAACAUAUGUGCAGGCAAAAUACUCACAUACAUAAAUAUUUUUGAAAUGUGCAUAAUUUUUAUAUUAAUAAAGAUGGAGAAUUAUAAAUUGAACUGUCACAUAUAAUGGUUUGUCUGUAUACUUGAACAGUCCUGGGUACUUCUUAUUUUUGUUUAGUAUCUAUGGGUUGGGUAUAGGUUAUAGUAAGAAUUAAAGUCCAGGCUGGAGCAAUGCCCUAACUGUUGAAAACAUCUACUGCCCUUGCAGAGGACCUGGCUUUGAUUCCCACCACACAGUCAGGCAUCUCACUGUAUUUCCAGCUCCAGGGGAUCACGUGCUCUCUUCUGAACUCUCCUGGGCUCCUGCACUCACAUGUCCACAGACCCCACCCCCUAUCCCCAAAUAUACACAAUUAAAAUAAAAUAAAAUCUUUUUAAAAAAUAUUGACAUUAAAAGUCAAGCUUGAAGCCUUUCCUUUUGAAACAGUUUGGAAUUUCCAAUACUAACCUGUGCAGGUUAUCUGGCAAACAUUGGUUGGUACUUAAUAUGCAUCCAGGCAGAGGCCCACCGAGGCAAUGGCAGCAUUAAGACAUGAUCUUGGCCUCCAUAAAGCACACAGGACAGUUGAAAAGACAUGUAAGUUGGCUACUGAGUCAUAGCUUUCCAAAUGAGGUGAGCGAAUGCAUGCUGCUGUGAGUACGUGUGGGAGCAACCACACUCAGAAGGAGACCCGAGAAUCUGAGGAUGCCCCGGUUUACUUCUUAAAGGAGAGAUGGAGAACUGUUGGUGUGCCUGGAAUUGCAUCAUGCUCAGUGUUAGGCAACAAAGCAUAAGAAGUGUUCUUGUAUCACAAACGCACCAAGGCUUUUCCAGGAGGAAACUGGGGAAGAUGUAGCAAGAUCGCAAAUGGGAAUGCCCUUUAGACUUAAUAAGCUCCUCCUUAGUGAUGUAUUUUGAGAUUUGUUUGUGCAUGUGCAUGUGUGCACACCUACCCGUAGGUGCACACAGAGGCUGGAAGUGCUAGGAACCUGACUUUGGUCGGCCAGAACAGCGGGAGCUCUUAACUGCCGAGCCAUCUCGCCAGACCCAGGAAUGUGUUUUGAGCAUAUGAGAAUAACUAACUAUAUAUGACAAUUUUUAGGGUGUGUACUUCAAGCAUGCUUAUG
rnacentral:lncRNA from 1 species